AAAUCGCCGACAAUGCCGCAUACGCUGGCUUCGCUCUGCAAGGAGCGGGGGCAGCAAAGUCUCGUGCGUGAGGGCGUGCGAGACGCUGGAAGCUGAGCCUGCGUCCGAUUAGCUGGUUGGUGGGGUCAAAGCCUACCAAGGCGACGAUCGGUAGCUGGUCUGAGAGGACGAUCAGCCACACUGGGAUUGAGAACGGCCCAG
rnacentral:rRNA from 1 species